CCUACGGGUGGCAGCAGUGAGGAAUAUUGGUCAAUGGGCGCAAGUCUGAACCAGCCAAGUAGCGUGCAGGAUGACUGCCCUAUGGGUUGUAAACUGCUUUUAUACGGGGAUAAACUCAGAUACGCGUAUCUGUCUGUAUGUACCGUACGAAUAAGGAUCGGCUAACUCCGUGCCAGCAGCCGCGGUAAUACGGAGGAUUCGAGCGUUAUCCGGAUUUAUUGGGUUUAAAGGGUGCGUAGGCGGUUUGUUAAGUUAGUUGUGAAAGUCCGAGGCUCAACCGUGGAAUUGCAUCUGAUACUGGCCGGCUUGAGUGUAGUUGAGGUAGGCGGAAUUCGUGGUGUAGCGGUGAAAUGCUUAGAGAUCACGAAGAACUCCGAUUGCGAAGGCAGCCUACCAAGCUACCACUGACGUUGAGGCUCGAAAGUGUGGGGAUCAAACAGGAUUAGAUACCCUAGUAGUC
rnacentral:rRNA from 1 species